rnacentral:rRNA from 1 species
GAGCGAAGGGGGCUAGCGUUGUUCGGAAUUACUGGGCGUAAAGCGCGUGUAGGCGGUUGUUCAAGUCAGGUGUGAAAGCCUUGAGCUCAACUCAAGAAAUGCACUUGAUACUGGAUGACUAGAGGACCGGAGAGGAUAGUGGAAUUCCCAGUGUAGUGGUGAAAUACGUAGAGAUUGGGAAGAACACCAGUGGCGAAGGCGGCUAUCUGGACGGUUUCUGACGCUAAGACGCGAAAGCGUGGGGAGCAAACAGG